rnacentral:misc_RNA from 1 species
AGCAGCCGCGGUAAUUCCAGCUCCAAUAGCGUAUAUUAAAGUUGCUGCAGUUAAAAGCUCGUAGUUGAAUUUCGGGACCAUCAUGUUGGUCGUGCCUCGGUACGUACUGGCAUUGUUGGUUUCUCCCUUCUGACGAACCAUGAUGUCAUUUAUUUGGUGUCGUGGGAAAUCAGGACUGUUACUUUGAAAAAUUAGAGUGUUUAAAGCAGGCUCACGCUUGAAUACAUUAGCAUGGAAUAAUGAAAUAGGACGUUUGAUUCUAUUUUGUUGGUUUCUAGGAUCGACGUAAUGAUUAAUAGGGAUAGUUGGGGGCAUUAGUAUUCAAUUGUCAGAGGUGAAAUUCUUGGAUUUAUUGAAGACUAACUACUGCGAAAGCAUUUGCCAAGGAUGUUUUCAUUAAUCAAGAACGAAAGUUAGGGGAUCGAAGACGAUCAGAUACCGUCGUAGUCUUAACCAUAAACUAUGCCGACUAGGGAUUGGAUGAUGUUAAUUUUUUAAUGA